UGUAAAGAUCACAGCCUUUGAGGGAAGACCUGUUAUUUGGACUGGAAGCUUCCAAUACUUUGGAAGCUGUGAGCAAACAAGACCAACGCUGGCUGCGUGAAAUCACUGAGUACGUCAAGUGCAGAAGGGAAAGCACCAAAAAAGCUGAGGGCUUUGAAACUGUUUAUCUAAGUUUCUUGCAUGGCCCCUCUUAUCGCAGCAUGGCAGCACCUCCCGGAUGGUAAGACGUUUAUCUUCUUGCCAACACCCUCACAGGGUUCCUAUCCCUAUUUUGGUUAGGAGACCCCUGUGCAGGCGCUGAGUGAUAUGCCCAAUGGCACUUGGGGUUUCUGUGGCAGAUCAAGGAAUGAAGCUCAGCUUUCCCAUGCCCUGGGCUAAUUCCUUAGCCCUGUGGGAUCCUGCUAGAAAUGAGCAGAAUGGCUUAGCAAAACACAGCAGCAUGUGGAAUUAAUGCUCCAAUGCUGUAUGAGGGAGGCCAUCCUUGAAUCUUAUGUUGGCACUUAAGUCCCAGCCUUUAGAAACAAGUUGCUGUUCUGUAGUGGGGAGCUGAAGUUGGCCCUGGGAUGAGCAGAAUUCAGCUACCUGGGGCAAAACUUAUUAGUCUGAGUAUAGUACUGUGAUGGGCAGGCCGUGCUGCUUCGGAGACCAGAUCUACACAAUGCCAUGUGUGCAGACCAACUGGGAUUCCAGGCUCUUUCAUCACCUUGGGUCAAAGGAGGAUCUCCUUGUGUCAGCAGGCCACUGGAUUACAACAAAUCACAGAACCAUAGGAGGUGGAAGGGUUUUCAAGGGAUCAUCUUGUCCAGCCCUCUUAGUGGGUUCUCCUGUGCAGUCUGCCCUUGUGAAAGCACUAUCCUGGGAUGCUGUUUUGCAUUAGUUUCCUUCCAAAAUGGGUCUGGCAGUUUCAGCCAUUGACCUGCUGGUUGCCCAUGAGUUGCCCCACGUUCUCACUCCUGCUUUCCUACCACCUCCUCCACCUCCUGAUCCAUGCUCUUCCCAUUACUACCACUGCAGAAUACCCUUGUCCUAACAAUGUGCCUUAGAAUCACAAAUAAUGGAGUGGGGAAUGAAUAACAGGAGAGAGUGAAUAUUUACUGUGUCCAGGUUAUUACUUAAUAACUGCCUGCUUCAUUCUUUGAUAACAUUUAAACUAUCUGAAAUUGCUGCAUCUAAUACAUGCUACUAAAUAGUGCCAUGCCCAUAACUUGAUUGCAGCAAUCCAUCGGGGACGUGUUUCAAAAUGUCAACAUUUCUCUGCAGUUCUUAGCACGAGCGUUGAGAAAACCCAGUGUUUCAGAUGCUGCUGGGUCUGCUAGAUGCUGAAGUGGUGUCAGCACGAUUUCUCUUACUCAGUACUGGCACCCAAAGCCACUUUUUGGGUGAGGCCAGAGUAAUAUUGUACACACGGACAGGCAAUUUGCUUAGAAGGGUAUAUGAGGCUGCAGAACAGUGGGAAGGUGAAGACGAGCACAGAAGGCAACAAUCCCUGCUGGCUGCCUUCCUGCUCCAUGCUCUGUUCCCAGUGGUUUCGCUGAACAGGCGAACUGGUGUGCUGUCAGUCUGGAAUGCCAUCAGCUCCUCCAAACCUUGGUUUCUGAGGGCUCGCUCUCCUGUGCACACUCAGCAAGUCUCCAGUAGGAGCGAAAAGCCUCUUCCAUUGUCACUGCAAGGCAGCAACGCAUCACGAAGUCCUCAUCUAAGGAGAUCCUAGAUGAGUGUCUCAUUUGCAUGUCUAACAAAGCUUUGGGUAAUCACGGAGAGGACGCUGGACUCAGUUAAAAGACUGGGUGUUUGGAAAGAGGCAUCUGUGCUCGGCGAUCCCUUGAUCUGCCUCAGAUUUGAGUCCGUCUUGCAAAAGGAUGCUGCAUCUUCGCUGCACAUCUGGAAAUUCCAGAUUUUUGUGGAAGGCAUUGGGUUCCGGAGCUGGGAGGUCUGGGACAUCAUACUGCUUGUUUUUUCAAGCACUCUUCUGUAGCAAAAGUAAUACCAGGAGUGGAAGGCCUUCCCUGGGCAGCCAGCAGAGGGGAGGAAGUACUGGGGUCUGCUGGCACAGCAGAGCUUGCCAAGGGAGAUCUCGAGUCCAGAUCUGGCUGGUUGCAGCAGUUUUGUUAUGGCAUUAUGCAAAGUCCUUUGAAGAUUUCCUCUUGGCAGAGCCUGCCGCGUCAUCACAGAGGUAGAGCAGGGAAUGAUCUAAAUCUUGUUAGGCGUUGUGAAGCAGUCAGAACAGCUGGCUGCAAAAUUAGCCCCUCAACAAAGAAGGAAGCGAGGGGGUUGUAAGCCUGAAAGAGUAGGGGUGAGGCUGUUAGUGAUACAGGACACAGUGCAGCAGGGGGCUGGGGCAGGUUGGCUCUGGCUUGAGAUGUGAAUGAAAGCAAGUGAAGGUGAGUUAAGGUAUUCAGGGAAAGGGGAGAUGAGCACAAUGAAGUCGAUAUAUGGAACAGCUCCUUUUUCUGAAGUUCCACGAUGUUCACCUAAGUGCAGUGAUCUUCAUGUCCUUCUAAUUCCCCUCUUUGCAAUCUCACAAAUCGAGGGGUGGCUUUGCUUUUACCUGCUGUUGCAUACUGUUGGUAACUCACGGUGGUCUCCCAAGGUGACUGCCCACACCUGGGGCUGGUCAUGCUCUGACUGUGCAGGUGACAGAGCCUUGGCCAGGACACAUUCUGUGCUUGUGUUCCUGCCAUUUCCCCUCACUCUGGGGUGUCACAUCCUCAGGGCCCCAGCACAGAGGUCUUUAGCUUCACAGCGAUGUCUUUCACACCUUCCCCACCAUAUGCUUCUCUUGCUUCCCUUUCCUGCCAAAGUACAUCCCCAACUUCUCUGUCCGCAUUUGCUCCUCCUCUGUCUCUAAUGAGGCAAAUGUUAAAGCUCAGCAAAGGAUAUCUGUUGAGCUCUGAGGAUUGCUGGUGGGAGAAACCCCACGGGUGGCUGAAAAUGUUUCAGCAUCCCCCUUCUUACUUUUCAUUUACAUCUCGUCUCUGCAGAGUGGGUAGUGUUCCUUGGAAACAGCAACACUUAUAUACGUUACUAUAUUACUUAUAUACAUUAACUAUAUUACAUAUAGUACGAGGGCUGCUCCGAAUGUAGUGCCUCCCAUUUUAUGAUGUCAACCUACAAAGUCAGAGGCAGAUGUUGGUGGUGUGACAGUAGAGGUUGAACCUUCUCACCAAUAUUCCAUUACAUGUUGUUGCCACGUGACAGAUGGCAGCAAGAGGGGCAGUCUGACAGAAUGGCACUUGAAGAAGAUGGAAGAGCAUGUGAAGCAAAGUUUCCACGGAAAUAAGAAGGCAUUACUUUUGGAACAACCACUGUAGAUGCAGCCCUGGAUAAUUCCUCUUCACCCAAUGUGGCCCAGCGACCAGCAGCAGAGACGCUGUCCUGCCCGUCCCACAUUGUUUUCCCUGUGGCUUGGAAAGCCCAAAAGUCUCUGGUGAAACCUUUGAAAGCUGCUUCUUUAAAGGGCCUGAAAACCUCCACCCCAGCAAAACCCCCAGGCUGGGGCUCUUCACUGAAGACCCACGUUGCAUCCGAGGACAAGGCUUUUUCUUCCCAAGGGGGUCCUGCUGUGCGUGGAAAUAUGAAAGAUGCCCUCGAAAAGAAACAAACCCUUCAGGUUGCAGUAGAGACGGAGUGGGGCUGAACAUCAAUUUCAGCUUUCAAGUGACUUUACGCUGUCUCCUUGAUUGACUUGCCAGUUUUAAUACUGUAAAUUGAGGGAUUGCGUGUAAUGCAUUCAUGCCGUUCUUGUCUGGAAUGAAGCAGGAACAUAAUUUAUGGGGAUAUUCUCAUCUCAGCCUUUGAGGAAUUAGCUUCAAUUAACUCUGUUGGGAAUUGCAUGUGUCGGGUGUCAGAAAGCCAUCAAGUUUUCUUUAGAAAUGCCUGCUGCUGCGCACAUUUCAUUCUUUGGCUGUCUGAAGGGUUUUAGCAGUGGAUAAGGAUUCAAAGCUUGGGAAACUCAGAUCCGGGUGACCAAGUUUCACAGGGUUAAUACAGAGCACGGAUGAUGGACAGGGCUGCAGCCCAUUAGGAUUUAUAGCCCUCCAGUACGAGCAGGAGAGUUUUGGGGGAGGGUCGAGCAGCUCCUGAACCCAGUGUGCAGAAUGAGCAAACAAACCAGGAGACAGGCUGGAAAAUAAGAUCUCGGUGGAUAAAUCUUACUGACACCCAUGAGAAUAAGAAAGAGCAUUGGCUUCGGGUGCCAUUUUGAAACAGAGACUCCUCAGCACUGGGUUUCUGUGCUGGUGGGGACAGAUUCAGGCAGAGAUGUCUGAUGCUUCUUGAAGGCCAAAAAUCCCCCCUCCUGGCCCUUAAUCAGCACUUCAUUAUCAGCUGCCACCCCCAGAUCAGCCACCAGCCUCACUUUGUGGGUGCAAACUGUUUCCCAGAGAUGCCCUCACACCUAAAGGGCCAAUUCUCCAUCCCCAGCUUAUCCCGAGGAUUAAAAACCCACCCAAGCGCCAUCUGAGCAAAUCCAAACCAGGAAUCCUAAUCAGUUCUGUUGCUAAAAGUGCAUUAAUGCGACACAAGAGAGAGCGUGGCUUUCUUCCAGCGGAUCCAACAAUCACAGCUCAUUUGGGUGAGGGAUUUUUCUGCUGCUGUGUAUUGACACAAAGGAGCACUUAGCUUGAUAAUGCCUCCUGGCUGCUGCCACGAUGCGAAUAUUAAGAACAAAUUAAGGUGUAAGACUAAGCUCUAGGUGUUGUUACCUGUUCACGGUGAGGUAGCAGUUGCUUCUUUAGCUUUUUCACACCAAAAUAUUGGCUCUCAGCGCUCAGGAGUUUAAAAAUAAAAUUGAGCUCCUACCUAUCGCAGGAAACAAUUAGGAUGCGAGGUCUCUUUUUAAUAUUUCUUCUGUGGUGUUUCUAAUCUGCAGUUUAAUCUGACAUGGUGUGAAGUAGGACCGGCUGCAAUCCCCAUGAAUCCAGCUGGUCGGGAUGACUUGCUCACUGAGCUGGUUGAAAGCAGUGCGGACACAGCAGCUCGCAUAAAUUGAAUGCCAGCUUGAUGUUUGUCAUGGCCACAGAAAUCCUGAGGCUGAGACUGGUGUCAGCAUGGGGAUUGUCCUGCACCAGAGUUCUGCUGCCUGGACUGGCUGAUCUUGGGGUGUUUGCCACUCUGAAUCCCACUUAGGGUGGCAGUGGCAAAGGUGAAAGUAGUUGCUCAAAUUCUCCGAAGUCAAACUGUAUUGACCCUCAGUUAGGUGUAAAGUUUGUUUGCCUACAUGUACCCUUGACAUGACACCUAACUGAGUGGUGCAGCUGAUAGAUCAGAAGGAAGGGAUGGCACCCAGGAGGACCUGGGCAGGCUUUAAAAGUGGGCCCACAUGAAACCAGUGAAGUUCAACAAGGCCAAGUGCAAGGUACUACUCUUGAAUCAGGAUGAUCCCAGCUGUGGGUACUGGGAGAAGAACUCAUUGUGAGCAGCCCUGCCGAAAAGAACAUGGGGGUUCUGGUGGACAAGAAGCUGAGCAUGAGCCUGCAGUGUGUGCUUGCAGCCCAGAAGACCAGCUGUGUCCUGGGCUGCAUCAAGAGAGGGGUGACACUGGGACAAGGAGGGGAUUGUCCCCCUCUGUUCUGCCUUUGUGAGGCUUCAUCUGCAGUACUGCAUCCAGGCCUGGGGCCUCCAGCACAGAAAGGAUGAGGAGCUGUUAGAGCAGGUCCAGAAGAUUCCACAAAGAUGCUUAGAGGGAUGAAGCACCUCUUCCAUGAAGAAAGGUUGAAGGAAGUGGGCUUGUUCAGCCUGGAGAAGAGAAGGCUCCAGGGAGACCUUAUCGUGGCCUUGCAGUACUUGAUGGGAGAUUAUAAGCAGGAGGGAGACUGGCUUUUUACACAGUCUGAUAGUGGUAUGAUAAGAGGGAAUGGCUUUAUGAGGGGAGAUUUAGGUUAGAUGUUAGAAAGAAUUUUUUUACUCAGAGGAUGGUGAGGCUCUGGCACUGCUGCCCAGAGCUGUGGGUGCCCCAUUACCAACCAAAGCCAUUCUGUCAUUAAUAGUUGCAGAAAGAUGAGUGAUUGGGAUGAAAGAGGUGUCUUCUGGGUUACUGAGUGCUGGCGACAAAGCUGGCCAAACACCCUGCCUCCAGAAAUGAUCUCAGCAGUAUGUGCAGCAUAGUCAAACCUAGGGGACUGGAAGGAACAGGGAGAAAUGAGCAACAGAACAAAGCUAGGCUUGCUUUGGAAAUACUUCAGCUAAGUAAACACAUCUAAAACUAAUCUGCUCUCUAGUGAGACGGGGAAGCUGGAAAAAGCAUGGUGAAGCUUUGGUGGCUGACCAUAUGAAGGAUGAGUUCUAGGAGAUGACAGAACAGCUGCUGGGUGACAGGCUGGGAUGUACACGCUCAGUGCUGGGGAGAACAUGGGCUGCAAGUCCAUUGGCUUUCUGACCCUUCUGGGUGGCACCUUGUCCCCUCCUUGGCACCCGCCUACAACACGGCGGUGAUGAGUGGCAGGAAUUUGGAGAAUAGCACCGGCAGUGUGCUGGAGAGGAUGUGCUGGAGAGGAUGAUUUACGUAUGCAAUGCUGACAAGGAGAUGUGUGCAUAGCUUAGCUAAGCACCAGUCUGACACUGGAGGAGAGGAGGGGAGAGGUUAGGUAAGAGCAGCAGUCAUUGGAAAGCCUGAAGUGCUGGUAAGGAAGGAGGGAUAUUUUCGUUGGUGAGAGAGAGAAUGAGGAAAACAAUGGCAUGGCAACCAACAAAGAAAAGUGCAGUGAGGACAUCUGAUAUGGCAUUUAAUGGCUUUCCAAAGGGAAUGGCUGAAGUUCCAUAAACACAAAAUUUGAACAUUACACAGCAAAUAUGGUGUCAGGAAUUGUCCGGGGAUGAGGAUGGAGAGGAAUUUGGAAGCUUCCCCCACCCUGCUUUGACAAUUGCCCUGCAGCAUCCUGCCCUACCCAGCGGUACCGGAGGACUGCUUGUUCUUAGCAGCCCUGGCAGCAUGAAGUGAAACAUCUUCCUUCCAAAGAUACAGGGGGAUUUGGGAAGAGAUCUCCUCCAGGUGAGCAGCACAGCAUUAACCCCUCAGUUCCACGAGUCCCCCCUGGCUGAGCCCGAGCACUCGUGACUUCAGCUCCCUGCUUUGCCCAGCCAAAAAUGAUCUUUUAUUCCCCAACUUCAUUCAGAAAGGAACAUUCUGCUCAGUAAUGGACGAGGAUGACUGCAAAUGCUACCAGCCACACAGUAGCUCUGCGUUCCUCCUGAUUCACUCCGAGAUACAGAUUUGCUGAGGCUACUGGAAACGAUUGGGAAAUGCAGGAAAUGUAUUAGCAUGUGGCUCGGCAGCAGCUUAGCAAAUCUUGCCAAAAUCUCUCUGGCUGCCUGCGCUUUUUCUCUGCUUUUAAUGUCCUUUCAUCUUCAUUAACCUUUUAUAGCUCUGUCUGAUUGCUGCAGCUUUCCCACCAUUUCCUACCAAAAUGUCACUGUAAUAGCUUUGUUAUGGGCAGCCAAUAUCGAUGUUGGCCAUUGCAGGGCUGUUAACAUCUAAGAGAGUGAUUGAGAUGGGAUGGAGCUGUUUGCGAGCAAUGCUGAAGGUCAGAUGGAAGCUGCCAGGAGUGCAUGUAAGAGGGGAGCAGGAUGAUGUUAAUGGAAAUCACCCUCCGAAAUGCAUCUCGGUGGCUCUCCCAGAUGACCGAUAACCUUGUGAGAAUUGCAGCAGCUUCUGCAGCUCCUCGACCCAGCGAAUAAAUGUCCAGCUUUGUUCGUUUGCAACUGAGUUUUGAGGCCAAGUUUAAAAAUGACAGCAAUAAAAAAAAAAAA
ensembl:lncRNA